rnacentral:rRNA from 1 species
GAGCUCAAAUUUAUAAUCUGGCACCUUCGGUGUCCGAGUUGUAAUCUCUAGAAGUGUUUUCCGCGUUGGACCGCACACAAGUCUGUUGGAAUACAGCGGCAUAGUGGUGAAACCCCCGUAUAUGGUGCGGACGCCCAGCGCUUUGUGAUACACUUUCAAUGAGUCGAGUUGUUUGGGAAUGCAGCUCAAAUUGGGUGGUAAAUUCCAUCUAAAGCUAAAUAUUGGCGAGAGACCGAUAGCGAACAAGUACCGUGAGGGAAAGAUGAAAAGCACUUUGGAAAGAGAGUUAACAGUACGUGAAAUUGUUGGAAGGGAAACGCUUGAAGUCAGACUUGCUUGCCGGAGCUUGCUUCGGUUUGCAGGCCAGCAUCAGUUUUCCGGGGUGGAUAAUAACGGUUUGAAGGUAGCAGUCUCGGCUGUGUUAUAGCUUUCCGUUGGAUACAUCCUGGGGGACUGAGGAACGCAGCGUGCUUUUUGCGAAAGACUCGUCUUUUUCACGCUUAGGAUGCUGGUGGAAUGGCUUUAAACGACCCGUCUU